rnacentral:rRNA from 1 species
GGUUGCGAUCAUACCAGCACUAGUGCACCGGAUCCCAUCAGAACUCCGAAGUUAAACGUGCUUGGGCGAGAGUAGUACUAAGAUGGGUGACCUCUUGGGAAGUCCUCGUGUUGCACCCC